rnacentral:rRNA from 1 species
AACGCACAUUGCGCCCCCUGGUAUUCCGGGGGGCAUGCCUGUUCGAGCCUCAAUGAAACCUCUCCACCCCGUGAUCGCUCCCCUCUUACCAGAGAGAGGCAGAGGCGGCGGUGGGGUUGUGGCGGACGCACACGCCCCGAAAAGCGUGUGCGCCGCUGGAAUCAUCGGUCCGCGGGCCCGCAGGGCGCAGACCCGGCGUAGUGAGUACCAUUCUCGCCGGUGACUGACGCCCCCCGAAAGCGUCCCGGGACCUCAAAGCGCUCCGGCGUCAAACCCCAAAGUGGUUGAGCUCGGAUCAGGUAGGGAUACCCGCUGAACUUAA